rnacentral:rRNA from 1 species
AACGAACGCUGGCGGCAUGCCUAACACAUGCAAGUCGAACGAGACCUUCGGGUCUAGUGGCGCACGGGUGCGUAACGCGUGGGAAUCUGCCCUUGGGUUCGGAAUAACAGUUAGAAAUGACUGCUAAUACCGGAUGAUGACGUAAGUCCAAAGAUUUAUCGCCCAAGGAUGAGCCCGCGUAGGAUUAGCUUGUUGGUGAGGUAAAAGCUCACCAAGGCGACGAUCCUUAGCUGGUCUGAGAGGAUGAUCAGCCACACUGGGACUGGGACACGGCCCAGACGCCUACGGGAUGCAGCAGUGGAGAAUAUUGGACAAUGGGCGAAAGCCUGAUCCAGCAAUGCCGCUGGAGUGAUGAAGGCCUUAGGGUUGUAAAGCUCUUUUACCCGGGAUGAUAAUGACAGUACCGGGAGAAUAAACCCCGGCUAACUCCGUGCCAGCCGCCGCAGUAAAAC